rnacentral:snoRNA from 1 species
AGCACAAAUGAUGAUUAUAAGGGACUUAAUACUGAGAUGUGAUGUGACUUUUGAGCAGACCUGAUGUGC